AGGACGAACGCUGGCGGCGUGCUUAACACAUGCAAGUCGAGCGGAAAGGCCCUUCGGGGUACUCGAGCGGCGAACGGGUGAGUAACACGUGAGCAACCUGCCCUUAGCUUCGGGAUAGCUCCGGGAAACCGGAAUUAAUACCGAAUAUGACUUUGGCUGACAUCAGCAGAAGUGGAAAGUUUUUCGGCUAGGGAUGGACUCGCGGCCUAUCAGCUAGUUGGUGAGGUAACGGCCCACCAAGGCGACGACGGGU
rnacentral:rRNA from 1 species